rnacentral:rRNA from 1 species
CAGCAGCCGCGGUAAUACGGAGGGAGCUAGCGUUGUUCGGAAUUACUGGGCGUAAAGCGCACGUAGGCGGUUAUUCAAGUCAGAGGUGAAAGCCCGGGGCUCAACCCCGGAACUGCCUUCGAAACUAGAUGACUGGAAUCUUGGAGAGGUCAGUGGAAUUCCGAGUGUAGAGGUGAAAUUCGUAGAUAUUCGGAAGAACACCAGUGGCGAAGGCGACUGACUGGACAAGUAUUGACGCUGAGGUGCGAAAGCGUGGGGAGCAAACAGGAUUAGAUACCCCGGUAGUCCCUGUCUCUUAUAC